AUUGCUCUCAACUCCUCACAGGAGGGAGCACACAAGCAAACAAGACGGGAACUGGAGUACAGGGGCGCUGGAACCAGCCAGCGAACUCCCUGCAGGCCCCGCGGCACUUUCGGGGGCGGGGGAUGGUGCCUGCGAUCCCCAAAACCCCAAAGGGCGUUUUUUACAGUGCUCUUUUAGCUCUGCUGACCGCGGAUGGCUUAAGUGUUAACAGCUCAGUGGGCCCUUUGCCUUUUCUCAUGAGUCGGCUGCCCUGUGCCAGCAAGGGCAAAGGGCCAGUGUAACAGCCUUUUGUAUCUGCACUCGUGGCUCCUGAGCUCCUGUUCGGCACACAGGAAAAAUGAGGUCGCACCAACAAACUGAAGGAUGGUAAAUGUUGAGGAUUUUAUUGCCAAUGAAAGCGGCUGUCACUGGGAGCUGAAAAGGUAAUGGAAAGCUGAAAAGCGGAUAAGGUGGGUAGGUACCUGAAGUCUGGCCAUCUACGGCAGCUGGAUUCUUCUCCAAAGUUAUACUGUCAAGCUGUCCCUCUGAAGCCAAGCCACUUCUCUUUGACAUCCAGCCGUAGUCUCUGCUCCUCUCCAACUGAGUAUGAGGGAGAUGUUUCCUAUUAUCCUUGAUAAUGUGCCAUGAACAUAUGAAAAAACAUAGAAACAUGAAGAAAACAAGAAGACAAAAAUCACUAACAUCUGGUUGGCUGUAUAGAAACAAAGCUGAUUCUGCUUGCAAAUGGAUCUUACAGACGUUGUCACAGAGACAAGAAAAGCAUAUAAAAAAAUAAAUAAAGAUGAGCUCCUUUCAAGGUGACUGACUAGAAGCAGCUGGUGUGUGCUGCUCUCACAAAGAGAAGAAAGAGUGGUGAGUGGACCAUCCAGGUGGACACAUUGGGAUUCAUCAAGGAAACAAUACACAGAAAACAGAAGAAUGAGACAGGACAAUCAUUCACCCAGAAGUGGCAUAGAGCCGGGAGAUGGCCCUCACCAUGGUUAGUAAGUGAGAGUCCCCAGGGAGUCACAUUUCUGCCACAGACCUUUGCAACCCUGGGCCCAGGCGAUCCCCCAUGACACCCGUGCCCCACCAGGGCCUCUGGACUGACAUAGACAGCUACAUGGAGUGUGGGCAGAACUGCCACUCAGGCACUCAUGAAAUCCUUGGAGCUUUUCAUCCCCAGGCACCCUGGUACCAAUGGCUGCAGCUGCGGCAAUGGGGGAGGACAGGCUCUCUUGCAUGUCCUCAGAAUAGGAACACAAUCCAUGGGGCUAAGCAGUGGGUGGACUGUGGGGCUCUUCUACACAGCCCGUUGCCAGACUGGCCUGGGAUCCUAGCAUGGUCACAAAAGUCCCACCUGGGCUCUUGAGGAACAGAUCUGUACUUCCCUGGCAUGGAACUCCUGGAGGGGAUGGGCAGGCUGCUGUUUUUGCUGCUCCACAGCCCUCACUCCUGUUGCCCUCAGUCUUGGGAGUGAGCACAGUGAUUGGGGACUAACAUAGACCCCCAGCACAGUGUACAGACUUGCAGAAAAGCAGCCAGACUCUUUUCCACAUGGGUCCUCACCCCUGCUACUCUUCACUGGGCAGCACCUCUUGACCUUGGCCCCCAGCACAACCAACCCGCCCCCACAUGAACGCUUUGUCAGUGAUGGCUCUGUGUUUCUCUGAGGAGAAAAAUCCAAAAGACAAUCCAUAAGCCUUCUGCUAUUGCAGCUGCAGUGGUAUGGCCCUUACUACCUUCAGGCUGGGGAAAGAACGAAGGACUUGGUCCUUACACUGGCCCCUCCAGCACACCAUCGCCACCAUAUGGAGAAGAGCCCAGUCUCUCUUCCCCGUAAGCCCCCACUCACCACUGUUCACCAGGCAAGGCCCCUAGUUGGGGACAGCAGAGCAGCUGUCCUACCCCCGGAUGAGAAUUCCCACUGCUAUUGGCUCUAUAUUUUCCUGAGGUGGGCCUCCCAGAAGCAAUUGACAUCCCCUCUGUCACUGUCAUGGCAGCAGUUCUGCCCUUACUGCACUCAGACUGGGGAAAGAACAAACAGCCUGAGGUCUUCACUCACACUCCUAGCACAACACAGUCAUGAUAUGGAGAGGAGCCCAGUUGUUCCUCCUGGUGAGCCCUUGACCUCCUACUUUUCAUCAAGUGAAGCCUCCAGCUUGGGCUAGCAGCGUAGCCACCCCACCCACUGGCUGAACAUUCUCAGUAGCAAUGGCUUGCGUUUCUCUGAAGUAGGGCUCCCAGGGACAACGGAAAGCACCUCUCCCACUGCCACUGCAGCGGUACUGCCUUGCUGCCCUUGGACUGGGGAAGGGGCAGAGACCUUGAGUGCUUAACCCACAUGUCCAGGAAGUGACAGCUGCCCUAAGGAGAGGAGGCCAGUCUGUCUCCUCUGUGAGACCCCUGCCACCCUUGCGCAUCACCAGGCAGGGCCUCCAGGCAUGGGUUCACAAUGUAGCUGCCCCAAUCCCAAGCCCAUCUCUCCAAUUAGUAGUGGCUCUGCAUUUCUCUAGGGUGGAGCCCCAAGAGACAAGUGAAAGGCCCUCUGCCACAGCAACUGCCAAGGUCCCUUCCCCUGUUGCCUUCAAGCUGGGGAGGGAAAAUAAAGCCUUAGCUCGCCCCUAGCAGCAGUGUGCAGCCCAGGAGUGCCAAGGCCAGACCUUAAGCCAGCACUGGAGUGGGAAAGGGAGCCCACACUUUCAGAGCACUGAGAGGGAGCAUGGCUGCAAUCAUGAAGAAAUACAGAGGAGCCACGUGGUGGAGCAAGAGCCCACCUACUGGCCAUUACACUUCAGUGCCAUCUACUGGAUCAUAGCCCAAACUCCAACUCCAAAAAUGCUUGCUAAUAUACCCCCCUCUGUGAAAACAACGACAAGAUUUCAACAACAAAGACCCUGCACAAAACCUCGGCCCUCAAAAAACAUUCAAAAAAGGAGUCUGCACUCAAUUACACCACAGUUAAAGGAGCAUCAGCCCACACAGAUGAGAAAAAACUGGUGCAAGAGCUCUAACAACUAAACUACAGUGUUUUCUUUCCUCCAAAUAACUGUACUAGUUCCCAAGGAAGGGUUCUUAACCAGGCAGAAAGGGUGGAAAUGACAGAGAGAGAAUUCAAAAUAUGGAUAGGAAUAAAGGUCAUCAAGAUUCAGGAGAAAGUCAAAACCCAAUCCAAGGAAUCUAACAAUUACAAUAAAACAAUACAGGAGUUGAAAGACAAAAUGGCCAUUAUAAGAAAGAACCAAACUGAUCUGAUAGAGCUAAAAAACACACUAAAGAAUUCCUUAAUGUAAUUGCAAGUAUUAACAGCAGAAUAGACCAAGCUGAAGAAAGAAUCUCAGAGCUCACAGGCAACAUCUCUGAACUCAGUCAGACAAAAAUAAGAAUAAAGAAGAAUGAACAAAACCUCCGAGAAAUAUGGGAUUAUGUAGAGACCAAAUCUAUGACUCACUGGCAUCCUUGAAAGAGAGGAGGAGAAAGCAAGCAACUUGGAAAACAUAUUUCAGGAUAUCAUCUAUGAAGACUUCCCCAACAUCGCUAUGGAGAACAACAUUCAAAAUCAGGAAAUGCAGAAAAUCCCUGUGAGAUUCUAUAUAAGAAGACCAUCCACGAGCCACAUGGUCGUCAGAUUCUUCAAGGCCAAAACAAAAGAAAAAAUGUUAAAGGAAGCUAGAGAGAAGAGGCAGAUCACCUACAAAGGAAACCUCAUUAGGCUAACAGCAGAUCAUUCAGCAGAAAUCCCACAAGCCAGAAGAGAUUAGGAGUGUGUAUUCAGCAUUAUUAAGGAAAAGAAAUUUCAACCAAGAAUCUCAUAUCUAGCCAAACUUAGUUUCAUUAGCGAAGGAGAAAUAAGAUCCUAUUCAGACAAGCAAAUGCUAAGGGAAUUCAGUACCACCAGACAUGCUCUAUAAGAGAUCCUGAAGCAAGUGCCAAAUAUAGAACAGAAAGACUGUUACUGACCACUGCAAAAGCACACUAAAAACGUAGACCAUUGACACUGUAAAGCAACCACACAAAUAAAGCUGCAUAAUAACCAGCUAACAGCACAAUGACAGGAUCAAAUCAGCAAAUACCAAUAUUAACCUUGAAAGUGAAGGGGCUAAGUGCCCCAAUGAAAAGUCACAGAGUGGCAAGUUGGAUAAAGAGCAAGACCCUGGCCAGGCAGGUGACUCAUGCCUGUAAUCUCAGCACUUUGGGAAGCUGACACAGGUGAAUCAAGAAUUCAAGACCAGUCUGGCCAACAUGGUGAAACCCCAUCUCUAUUAAAAUACAAAAAUUAGCCCUGGACAUGGUGGUGCUCAUCUAUAGUCCCAGGUACUAGGGAGGCUGAGGCGGGCGGAUCAGUUGAACCCAGGAGGCAGAGGUUGCAGUGAGCUGAGAUCAUGCCACUGCGCUUCAGCCUAAAAAAAAAAAAAAAAAAAAAAAAAAAAAGCAUGAUCCAACUGUAUGCUGUCUUCAACAGACAUAUCUCACAUGGAUCCAUAGGCUUAAAGUAAAGGGAUGAAGAAAAAUCUACCAAGCCAAUGGAAAACAGAAAAUAGCUGGGGUUGACAGUCGAAUUUCAGUCAAAACAGACUUUAAACCAACAAUGAUCAAGAAAGACAAAGGAAGACAUUACAGAAUAGUAAAGGGUUCAAUACAACAGAAAGAUGUUACUAUUGUAAAUAUAUAUGCAUCCAACACAGGAGAAUCCAGAUUCAUAAAGCAAGUUCUUAGAGACCUAUGAAGAGAUGUAGAUAACUGGACAAUAAUAGUAGUAGACUUCAACACCCCACAGACAGUAUAUUACACAGAUCACUGAGGCAGAAAACUCACAAAAAUAUCCAGGAUUCAAACUCAACAUUGACCAAAUGGACUCAAUACACAUCUGUAGAACUCUCCACCAAACAACACCAGAAUAUAUAUUCUACUCAUCUGCACAGAGCACACACUGCAAAAGAGAAAACACAAUUAGCCAUAAAAUAAUCCUCAGGAAAUCAAAAACAAACAAACAAAAACAAAAUCAUACAAAUCACACUCUCAAACCACAGCACAAUAAAAAUAGAAAUUAUUACUUAAAAAACCCUCAAAACCAUAAAAUUACAUGGAAAUUUUUAAAAGCCCUGCUUUUGAAUGACCUUUGUAUAAACAAUAAAGUCAAAGCAGAAAUCAAGAAAUUUUUUGAAGUUAAGAAGAAUAAAGAUACAACAUACCAGAAUCUCUGAGACACAGUAAAAACAGCAUUAAGAGGGGUGUUUAUACUGCUAAAUGCCACAUCAAAAAGUUAGAAAGACCUCCAAUUAAUAAUCUCACAGCACACUUAGAAGAACUAGAGAAAUCAGAGCAAGCAACCUCAAAGCUAGCAGAAGACAAGGAUUAACAAAAAUCAAAGCUGAAUGGAAGGAUAUUGAGAAGCAGAAAACUGUACAAAAGUUCAACAAAUAUAAGAAUUGAUCCUUUGAAGGAAUAGAUUAGAUAGAUAGACCCCUAGUCAGAAUAAUAAAGAAAAAAGGGGGAAGAUCCAAAUAAACAAAAUCAGAAAUGACAAAGGUGAACACUACCACUAACCCUACAAAAAUACAAAAAGCCCCUAGAAACUACUGUGAACACCUAAAUGCACACGACAUAGAAAACCUAGAAGAAACUGAUAAAUUCCUGAAAACAUACAACCUCCCAAUAUUGCACCAAGAAGAAAUUAAAACCCUGAACAGACCAAUAAUGAGUUCUGAAAUUUAAUCAGUAAUAAAAAGCCUACCAACCAGAAAAAUCCCAGGACCAGAUGGAUUCACAGAUGAAUUCUACCAGACAUAUUAAGAAGACCUGGUAUAAUCCCUACUGUGAAUAUUCCAAAACAUUUAGGAGGAAGAAUUCCUCUCUAAUUCAUUCUAUGAGCCCAGCAUCCUUCUGAUACCAAAACUUGGCAGACAAACAACAAUAAAGAAAACUACAAGCCAAUAUUCCUGAUGAACAAAGAUGUAAAAAUCCUCAACAAAAUAUUAGCAAACUGAAUUCAGCAGCACAUUGAAAAGCUAAAUGACCACAAUCUCUUAAGCUUUAUUCUUGGGAGGCAAGAAUUGGUUCCAUAGAGGCAAAUCAAUCAAUGUAAUUCAUUAUAUAAACAAAACUAGAAACAAAAAUCACAUGAUCAUCUCAAUAGAUGCAGAAAGGGCUUUUGAUAAAAUUCAAUGUCCCUUCAUGUUAAAAACUCUCAACAAAGUAAGCAUCAAAGGCACAUACUCAAAUAAUAAGAGCCAUUUAUGAAAAAUUCACAGCCAACAUCAUCCAGAAUGGGCAAAAGCUGGAAGCAUUCCGCUUGAAAACUAAAACAAGACAAGAAUGCCCUCUCUUAUUAUUUUUAUUAAACAUACUACUGGAAGUCCUAAGCAGAAUAAUUGGCCAAAAGAAAAGAAAAAAAAGCAUCCAAAUGGGAUAAUAGAAAGUCAAAUAAUCCCCUUUUGCAGACGAUAUGAUUCUAUACCUAGAAAACCAAAUAGUCCCUACCCAAAACCUCCUUGAUUUGAUAAACAAUUUCAGCAAUGUUUCAGAAUUCAAAAUUAGUGUUCAAAAAGUAGCAUUCCUAUAUAGCAACAAUAUCCAAGCUGAGAGCCAAAUCAAGAACACAAUCGCAUUCACAAUGGCCAUAAAAACAAUAAAAUACCCAGGAAUAUAGCUACGCAGGGAGGUGAAACGUGUUUACAAUGAGAAUUACAAAACACUGCUCAAAUAAAUCAGAGAUGAUGCAAACAAAUGGAAAAUCCCCCCAUGCUUAUGGAUAAGAAGCAUCAAUAUUGUUAAAAUGGCCAUAAUGUCCAGAGCAAUUUACAGACUCAAUGCUUUUCCUAUCAAACUACUAAUGACAUUUUUCACAGAACUAGAAAAAAAAAACUAUUUUAAAAUUCAUGUAGAACCA